rnacentral:rRNA from 1 species
GACAGAGGGUGCAAACGUUGCUCGGAAUUACUGGGCGUAAAGCGCAUGUAGGCGGCUCCGUAAGUCGGAUGUGAAAUCCCUCGGCUUAACCGAGGAAGGGCAUUCGAUACUGCAGAGCUAGAGUAUCGGAGAGGGUCGUGGAAUUCCUGGUGUAGAGGUGAAAUUCGUAGAUAUCGGGAGGAACACCAGUGGCGAAGGCAGCGAUCUGGGCAGAUACUGACGCUGAGGUGCGAAAGCGUGGGGAGCAAACAGG